UACGUAGGGGGCAAGCGUUGUCCGGAAUCAUUGGGCGUAAAGAGCGUGUAGGCGGCCCGGUAAGUCCGCUGUGAAAGUCCAGGGCUCAACCCUGGGAUGCCGGUGGAUACUAUCGGGCUCGAGUCCGGAAGAGGAGUGUGGAAUUCCUGGUGUAGCGGUGAAAUGUGCAGAUAUCAGGAGGAACACCAAUGGCGAAGGCAGCACUCUGGGACGUGACUGACGCUGAGACGCGAAAGCGUGGGGAGCAAACAGG
rnacentral:rRNA from 1 species